AGGAGAUCCUCAGAGAUCAGGAGUCAAGAUGAAGAUGAUCAGAAACUUGAAGGUGACGGUCCAACAUCCAGACAUCCAGCAGAGGAUGAGACUGAAUUUUAGUACACCAGCGUGACCGUCACCAAGAGGCAGGAGGAUCCUCUCUACUCCAACAUGGAUCCAGUCAAAGCAAAGAGAAGACGGGACGCUCAUGA